rnacentral:rRNA from 10 species
CCAUAUAGCCAUACCACGCUGAACACGCCCGCUCUCGUCUAAUCUCAGAAGCUAAGCAGUGUCGGGGCUGGUUAGUACUUGGAUGGGAGACCGCCUGGGGAUAAUAGGUACUGUAAGGG